rnacentral:rRNA from 1 species
UUGAACGCUGGCGGCAUGCUUUACACAUGCAAGUCGAACGGCAGCGGGGGCUUCGGCCUGCCGGCGAGUGGCGAACGGGUGAGUAAUGCAUCGGAACGUACCCAGUCGUGGGGGAUAACUACGCGAAAGCGUAGCUAAUACCGCAUACGCCCUGAGGGGGAAAGCGGGGGACCUUCGGGCCUCGCGCGAUUGGAGCGGCUGAUGUCGGAUUAGCUAGUUGGUGGGGUAAAGGCCUACCAAGGCGACGAUCCGUAGCUGGUCUGAGAGGACGACCAGCCACACUGGGACUGAGACACGGCCCAGACUCCUACGGGAGGCAGCAGUGGGGAAUUUUGGACAAUGGGCGAAAGCCUGAUCCAGCCAUGCCGCGUGCGGGAAGAAGGCCUUCGGGUUGUAAACCGCUUUUGUCAGGGAAGAAAUCCUUUGAGCUAAUACCUCGGAGGGAUGACGGUACCUGAAGAAUAAGCACCGGCUAACUACGU